rnacentral:RNase_P_RNA from 1 species
GCAGUGGUCCGAGGUGAUCGCCGCGAGAGGUGCUCGUUCCGGGUGCUGACCGCGGAGGAAAGUCCGAACUCCAUAGGGCAGUGCGCUGGGUAACGCCCAGUCAGGGUGACCUGAAGGAAAGUGGCACAGAAAACAUACCGCCCGCCGAAGCGCGCAAGCGCGAAGGCGGGUAAGGGUGAAAAGGUGCGGUAAGAGCGCACCGCGCGCCCCGUGAGGGGCGUGGCAGGCUAAACCCCGCACGGAGCAAGACCAAAUAGGGAAGCGUUGGCAUCCCGGCGCGGGCAACUGCGCUGGAGCGUGCCAGGAGAGUCGCCCGCUCGAAGCUUCCGGGUAGGUCGCCAGAGGUCGUCAGCAAUGACGGCCCCAAGAGGAAUGAUCGCCGCUGCACUUGCUGCAAGGCGGGUGCGGCACAGAAUUCGGCUUACUGGACCACUGCGACC